ACCAAACGCCCUGUUGUGACGUGGUACAGUCCAGUAGGCCACCGUUCGGCGUAACCUCAACGGCCGCUUUGGAGUCGUUUGCUAAGCUCAAGCAGGAGCAGCGCGUUCAUCUGGCUAGCAGCUACCGCCAUGGCGUCAACCGAGAUAGCGAGGCAAGCGGGUGAAGGUGCCCGUGCUGUUCCUCUGUCAGGCCAUGUUGGCUUUGACAGUAUGCCUGACCAGCUGGUCAACAAGUCUGUAAACCACGGCUUCUGCUUCAACAUUCUCUGUGUUGGGGAAACUGGUCUGGGGAAGUCCACUCUAAUGGACACGUUGUUCAACACCAAGUUUGAAGGUGAACCUACCCAGCACAACCAGCCAGGAGUCACGCUGAAGUCGAACACCUACGAACUCCAGGAGAGCAACGUACGCCUUAAACUCACAGUUGUCAACACAGUGGGCUUUGGGGAUCAGAUCAACAAAGAGGACAGCUACAAGUCCAUUGUGGAGUUCAUUGAUGCCCAGUUUGAAGCAUAUCUUCAGGAGGAACUGAAAAUCAAGCGCACAUUGCACAGCUACCAUGACACCCGCAUACAUGCGUGCCUGUAUUUCAUCGCUCCCACAGGACACUCGCUCAAAUCCUUGGACUUGGUGACCAUGAAGAAACUUGAUAGCAAGGUCAACAUUAUCCCAAUCAUUGCAAAGUCAGAUGCCAUCUCCAAGAGCGAACUGGCCAAGUUCAAAAUCAAAAUCACCAGUGAGUUGGUCAGCAAUGGAGUGCAGAUCUACCAGUUCCCCACUGAUGAUGAGUCUGUGGCAGAGAUCAACUCCACCAUGAAUAGCCACUUGCCGUUUGCUGUGGUGGGGAGCACGGAGGAAGUUAAGAUUGGGAACAAGAUGGUGAAGGCCCGGCAGUACCCCUGGGGGACCGUGCAGGUGGAGAAUGAGAACCACUGUGACUUCGUCAAGUUGAGAGAAAUGCUGAUCAGAGUGAACAUGGAAGAUCUGCGAGAACAGACUCACACGCGUCAUUAUGAGCUUUAUCGCCGCUGCAAACUGGAGGAGAUGGGCUUCAAGGACACAGACCCUGACAGCAAGCCCUUCAGUCUGCAGGAGACGUAUGAAGCUAAGAGAAAUGAGUUCAUGGGCGAGCUGCAGAAGAAGGAAGAAGAAAUGAGGCAAAUGUUUGUCCAACGAGUGAAAGAGAAGGAAGCUGAGCUUAAAGAAGCAGAGAAAGAGCUGCAUGAGAAGUUUGACCGUUUGAAGAAGCUUCACCAGGACGAAAAAAAGAAACUGGAAGAAAAGAAGAAGUCUCUUGACGAUGAGCUCAACACGUUCAAACAGAAAAAGACUGCUGCAGAGCUCUUGCAGAACCAAGCUCAGCAGGCAGGAGGUUCUACCACACUCAAGAGGGACAAAGAGAGAAAAAACUGAUGUGACUCCGUGCCUGUUAAAAAAAGGAAGGCCACACUUGCACUGAGAAGCUUAGGAUCGCUGUAGAAAAUGUGCUCCCUUGUGGCCGUCCUGCUGUGAAUGAGUUCCCACCCCAUCAUCCUUUACAGUAUCCCUUCCCCAUCCUCACCUAACCCCCGUAAUACCCACCCCUCCACAUGCUCACCCCUGCUCGGUGGAAGACGCUGGGCGUUGCUGUCAGUUUGACAUCACCUUUUUGUAUUUGCUGAAUGUUGCUUGUGUGUCACACGGCUUUUACAAGCACUUAUUCAGCUUUUGUUUUUUAAAAUGAAGUUUUACAAUUAAUGCAUUCCAUAUUUGUUUUUUUAAAGAUUCUUUGCAUGAUGAAGCCAGCUUUUUAUAUCAACGUACAUGGCUACGGUUGUGAUGGGCUGAAAUGUAUCAAGGCUAAAGAGAAAUAUGCAUCAAACAUUGAGAUCUGAGUUUAGUUAUUACAAUAUAUGCAACAUCAGUAGGUUGCAGUGAAAAACAUGUUAGUAAAUUAAAUGAUUUAUUUAAUUUACUUUGUAUACAGUACUGAUGGCUUUUAAAAAUGUCUUCUGGAGACUUUUAACUUAAACCACAGUUAUUGCUGCUAAUGGAAAAUACAUUGUUUACUGUAAUUCUAUACUGUAGUCAAGCAGUGAAACAAUAGAUGUAUCUUAAACAAUGAGGCUGAUGUCAUUUAGGUGACAUUGUACUGAUGCUGGAUUAUUUGUUUGUUUCCUGUAUAUUUGGCUCCAUGCAGGACUGGUGGCGCCUGCUUCGAACUAUGAUUUCCAUGAUUUGAAUUCAUAAACAACUUAAAGCUUGCCACUCCACUAGACGGAGUUAAUUGACAGGUUUACUAAAUGAACAAUAUUUUCCAGUGCUGAUGCUGUUUCACUUUGGCCUGAUGCAUGAGCAGAUGAGCCUAAUCUCUUUGCCACUUCUCUCAUACCUCAUUCGUUGUCAUUUGUUAUGUGCUUACUUGUAUUAGCUUUCACAUUUGCACUUUUCUCCCUAUUACACACAAAUGUGAUGUUUUUUAAGUAUGUUUUAAUGUUAUCAGUGCAAUUGUAACUUUCUUUUUUAUUUUACCCAUUAUGAAGGCACAUUUACGUCGUUUAUCAUGAUAUCCAUUGUCCUGCGGGGACCAAUCUUGUUUGUAUUAAGUAUUAUGCGUUAAAGAAUUAUCUCAAAAAUAAAUAAAGGCCAUUUUUCCACCAAAUAUUACAA